rnacentral:rRNA from 1 species
GUAGGUGGCAAGCGUUGUCCGGAAUUAUUGGGCGUAAAGCGCGCGCAGGCGGUUCUUUAAGUCUGAUGUGAAAGCCCACGGGCUCAACCGUGGAGGGUCAUUGGAACCUGGAGAACUUGAGUACAGAAGAGGAAAGCGGAAUUCCACGUGUAGCGGUGAAAUGCGUAGAGAUGUGGAGGAACACCAGUGGCGAAGGCGGCUUUCUGGUCUGUAACUGACGCUGAGGCGCGAAAGCGUGGGGAGCAAACAGGAUUAGAUACCCUGGUAGUCCACGCCGUAAACGAUGAGUGCUAAGUGUUAGGGGGUUUCCGCCCCUUAGUGCUGCAGCUAACGCAUUAAGCACUCCGCCUGGGGAGUACGGCCGCAAGGCUG